rnacentral:lncRNA from 1 species
UCUAGCCCAGGCGGUAAGAGAGACUCCAUCUCAAAAAAAAAAAAAAAAAAAAAGAAAAAAGAAACUGACAACACUGCUGCUGACAUUUUUUCAAUGGCAAUCCCAAAUUCAAACUGAAACCCCACUGAAGAGCUAAGCUUCAUUAGAUCUCUACAGGCUGACUUACAUCAAGUGGAAUUUACUGUUGAUUCUGGGUAUAAUACAGAAACAGCUGUUUAUCUUCAGCUUGCUUUCUGAUGCACAUCUGUUUGGGUUACUUCAAGAGGCAUCAUGGAGGAUUCAAGUUUAGGGAGGAUACAGAUGCUCAAAUCUGAUGAACAAUUGGCUUAUUCUUCCUCAAUGAAUAUAUUCAGAAAGCUUGUUAGCCAUUGAAUAAACACGUUGCAUUAGGGGAUGAUUGUUUACAAAUACCUUAUCUUGUGGAAUAAACUGAAGUUGUGCUUUCCUUCAUUAACGUGCACAGAAGCAGUUGGCAAAUAGAAAGUGCUCAAAAAAGUUUGUAGUCUGUGCCUGCCACUAUUAUAUUUCAUCAUCAUAGAUGCCAGAAUCCCCUCUUCACCUAUUGCCCGGAAUCUGCCUAAUGAGAUAUUUGCUCCACCCCCUGCUGUAACUACAUCAUAGCAAGAGAGCCAUCACUCAGGCCCUUUCAACUUUUCAAUAUGUCUCAGAGCUAAAUCCUCUUUGAUGUUUGCAAGAUGACCUAUUGGUUCCUGCCCCCAACCAUCACUCACUGGAUUGCUGAUUCUCAAAACACCAAAUUAAGAAGGAACUAGAGAGAGAAGGUUGCCAAUUGACAUCUGGACAACGGCCAUGAAACUCUUAGUGGCUCUCCGUUCCUGCUGCACAUGUGGAAAGCUUCGUGAAGAUGCUCAGAUACCACCCUUAGAUUAACCCAGUCUGUAUCUCUUCCAGGAGUGAGACCCAGACAGCCCAGGUGAUUCCGAUACACAGCGAAGGUUGAAAAUUAUGCCUCGCUAGUAAAAACCAUCCUCUGCACUCCUCUCCCUGUUAUUCAUCUCAGCUGAUCAUCAAAAAAUAGGCAUCAUCAACCUCAUUUUACAGAUGAGGAAGUGAAUCACGAAGUCACUGAGCAGAUUCAGCUGUCAUCUAGUUUCAAAGCCUUGGGUUCUACCCCCCUAGGGAACCGCUGUUGGCAGGUAGUAUGAAUGCCAUCUCGGUUGGAUGAGUGUAAGUUGGGGAAAGCUAGAUAUUCUCAAAGGAGUGUUAAACGGCCAGAUUAUUUGGCGAUCCAGAAAUUCAGGGGAAAAGGAGGGACAUUGUAAGACCCAGCUUGGAGCGCACAGACCUUAAGAGUUAACUGUCACACCUGGGAGUGAUUCUUGAGUCUUUCACUAACCAGAUGUGUGACCUCAAGCAAAGUGACUCUACUAACCUGAGCCUCAAGGACCUCAACAGAAAUUGGGGGGAAGGGGAGUUAAUAAAAACACCCAUAGAGGAAUUUUGCAGAAUUGAAUGUGAUCAGCGUCUCCUUCUUGGCACAUAAGUGCCCAAUAUGUAGCAGUUAAAAUGGCGGUGGUCUUAGAAGAGUCUGGACCUAUGGACCGUGGACUUAGACUGAGCAGCUCUGAAGUCCAACCAUGCUAAUUGUUGGUUACAUAAACCUCGGUAAGUUGAACAUAGUUGCUCUGACUCGGUUUCCUCAUCUAUAAAGUGGGAGUAAUCAUAUUACCCAUAUCAUAGAAUAGUUUUAAGUAUUAAGAGGAUUAAUAAAUGUGAAAUGUUUAGAAAAGUGCCUGAUGCAUUAUAAAAAGUACUCCAUAAACACAAGCUACUGCUACCUUUUGAAACUAUGAUUAGAUAUUAAAACAGGUCACACCGUAUACCCCUCUGAAGACUCCCAGGGAUUAUAGAACACCCCUUCUUUUCCAUGUCGACAAGGAUUCAGUAAGUAAGUCUUCCCUUGGCUAAUGGGUUCAUUCAAGCUGCGUAUUUGGGGCAACUGAGUAUAGGACAAGGACAUAUGCAAGAAUGACAACAAGAUUAUUAUUUCCACACUGUCACAUGCUUGAGGCAGCAGUGGGCGCUGGUGCCGUGUUAUGCAUCCUCAGGCAGUCCUAGAAAUAGAUACAUGGACACAGAUAACCUUCACUGUUGCUGGUAUCCAGUCACUUGCAGAGGGGCACGCGUAGUCACAAUCAAGACUCCCCCUGCUGCGGAGAACUUACUUUUGAGCUUCAAUCUGGGCCCAGGGGCCCCAUUCCACCCCGGGACAGGAAGUU